UCUUCCCUCUUUCUUCGUGCCUAAUACAUGCAAGUCGAGCGAACAGACGAGGAGCUUGCUCCUCUGACGUUAGCGGCGGACGGGUGAGUAACACGUGGAUAACCUACCUAUAAGACUGGGAUAACUUCGGGAAACCGGAGCUAAUACCGGAUAACAUGUUGAACCGCAUGGUUCAACAGUGAAAGACGGUCUUGCUGUCACUUAUAGAUGGAUCCGCGCCGCAUUAGCUAGUUGGUAAGGUAACGGCUUACCAAGGCAACGAUGCGUAGCCGACCUGAGAGGGUGAUCGGCCACGCUGGAACUGAGACACGGUCCAGACUCCUACGGGAGGCAGCAGUAGGGAAUCUUCCGCAAUGGGCGAAAGCCUGACGGAGCAACGCCGCGUGAGUGAUGAAGGUCUUCGGAUCGUAAAACUCUGUUAUUAGGGAAGAACAAAUGUGUAAGUAACUAUGCACGUCUUGACGGUACCUAAUCAGAAAGCCACGGCUAACUACGUG
rnacentral:rRNA from 1 species